GAUGAACGCUGGCGGCGUGCCUAAUACAUGCAAGUCGAGCGAACGGACGAGAAGCUUGCUUCUCUGAUGUUAGCGGCGGACGGGUGAGUAACACGUGGAUAACCUACCUAUAAGACUGGGAUAACUUCGGGAAACCGGAGCUAAUACCGGAUAAUAUUUUGAACCGCAUGGUUCAAAAGUGAAAGACGGUCUUGCUGUCACUUAUAGAUGGAUCCGCGCUGCAUUAGCUAGUUGGUAAGGUAACGGCUUACCAAGGCAACGAUGCAUAGCCGACCUGAGAGGGUGAUCGGCCACACUGGAACUGAGACACGGUCCAGACUCCUACGGGAGGCAGCAGUAGGGAAUCUUCCGCAAUGGGCGAAAGCCUGACGGAGCAACGCCGCGUGAGUGAUGAAGGUCCUCGGAUCGUAAAACUUUGUUAUUAGGGAAGAACAUAUGUGUAAGUAACUGUGCACAUCUUGACGGUACCUAAUCAGAAAGCCACGGCUAACUACGU
rnacentral:rRNA from 1 species